AAACAAAGAGAAAAUAACAAAUCAAUCGAUGCUUUUCUCUACCUGUAUCUCACGUUUCCAACCUCAAGAACCGUCUGCUAAUCAAAACCAUACCCACAAUUGAAGAACCAGACAGCGCCGCACCCACAAAUUUCAAUCCAACUCGGCGGCGCACCAACAACCUCAAAUCGGCGGCUCUUCAUCUCUUCCCGUACAACUCGGCGGCGCUUCUUCUCUUCCAUUCCAAAUCGGCGGCGCCACCCACAAUCUUCAGUGUCCUGUGGAGCACCCAGAGAAGUUCUAGAAAUUCGGAAUGACACCUAGAAAAGGGGUCCUUUUCUAGAAUGAUUUGGUAAAAUAGUUAAGGCUCCUCCCUUACCUGAUGGUUCUUGAUAUUUGUCUUUGUGGUAAACCUGUGAGGCUUCUUAUAUUCCAUUUCUUUUUCUUGCAGCUGGAUUAAAACUUUGGCUCUGAGUUGUUGAUAUUUUACAUUGUGUGGGUUACAUAAUUAAUUCCUGUUUAUCGAUGGUCUCUCAUCUUUCAUGUAAUAUCUUAAUUGUUGUUGCAGAGAGGAAGCAGUGUACGCAUUUAAUUUAAUGAUUGUUCUUGGAGGACUGCUCUUCCACUCAAAUACUGUAACUUUUAUGCUAGGGGAGUUGGCUAAUGGAAGUCCCAAGGCUGGGGAUUAUGAGGGAAACAGGCUACUUAUAAAUUAUCAUGAAAAUUUGAAGAAGUUCAAAAUUAUGCAUGGUUAUUAGGGAUAGAAAACACAAAAGUUCAAAAUUUUUCAUUUUAAUUUACAUAGGAAUGGAAAACACAAAAUUUCACUUUCAUACUCAUCUGAAUGUUGCUGCAUAUAGUCAGUCAUUUGAGACCAUAAUUUUUGGGAAGAUUGGUCAGGUGUGGGAAGGAUGUCUCUCAGUAAUCACAUUUUCAGAUUUGGGCAAAAUGCAUUUCAGGGAUUCAUAUGAGAAGCUGCAUCUCAUAUUAUUUUUGGUCAGUGCUCUCCACUUCCUGGUCUGGUUUCUCUGCAGAGAUCUCCAUUCUCAUUUCUUGACUGAGGACCAAGUGCUCUCCACUUCCUGGUCCGGUUGCUUUGUAUAAUUAGGUUUUAUAUUUAUCAAAUCUUCAGUGACACGUCUGUUGAACUUAUUGUAUGCCUUUUUGGGUCACAAUGGGGCAGGGCUUUCGUGUCCUCCAUUACUGCAUUUGCCAUUUGGUUUUCAGUUCUCAAACAUUGUUAUUUAUGGAUGAAAACUUAAGUGAUGAAUUGGAAAAACAAAAGAAAUCUAUGGGCCUAAUUGGCUACGAAUGUUCAAAUUUAUGCAUGGUUAUUUUUACUACUUCUACCACUUCUUCUAGGUAACGCUGAUGUAGCAUGGUAGUGUACAUUAUGACUUUGAGAUGUAACGUACACUGUGUUCCUAUAGGUGGAUCAUGUUUAAGGAAUUACUGAGAAUUUGCAUGUGUUAUUAAUCAUGGCUGUUCUAUUCCACCAGUCUUGUGUUUUCUUUUUCAGGUGGUCAAUAGUUCUCAGAUUCACUAAUCUUUGAACUUUUUUUCUUUCCUCUUUCAGGCUAGCCAGGAGUAUAAUAAUUGAAGAUGGCAUUGAACCCAGGCUUACAUGGAAUGCUGAUAGACCCCAUUUUGUGUCUGUACAUCUGAUGAAGAUGGUCAGAUAAAAUAUUAGUUUGUUGCCUUACUCUUGGAGUUAGAACCUAUUUGUAACUUGCAAAAUGGCUUAUUUAGCAUCAAACUUUCUCUGUGUACAAUUUUAUCUAAAGAAAAGCACUUAAUUACUCA